rnacentral:rRNA from 1 species
AGUGAACGCUGGCGGUAGGCCUAACACAUGCAAGUCGAACGGCAGCACAGUAGAGCUUGCUCUUACGGGUGGCGAGUGGCGGACGGGUGAGGAAUACAUCGGAAUCUACUUUUUCGUGGGGGAUAACGUAGGGAAACUUACGCUAAUACCGCAUACGACCUACGGGUGAAAGCAGGGGAUCUUCGGACCUUGCGCGAUUGAAUGAGCCGAUGUCGGAUUAGCUAGUUGGCGGGGUAAAGGCCCACCAAGGCGACGAUCCGUAGCUGGUCUGAGAGGAGGAUCAGCCACACUGGAACUGAGACACGGACCAGACUCCUACGGGAGGCAGCAGUGGGGAAUAUUGGACAAUGGGCGCAAGCCUGAUCCAGCCAUACCGCGUGGGUGAAGAAGGCCUUCGGGUUGUAAAGCCCUUUUGUUGGGGAAGAAAAGCAGCAGGUUAAUACCCCGCUGUUCUGACGGUACCCAAAGAAUAAGCACCGGCUAACUUCGUG